rnacentral:rRNA from 1 species
AUUGAACGCUGGCGGCAGGCCUAACACAUGCAAGUCGAGCGAGCGGCGGACGGGUGAGUAAUGUCUGGGAAACUGCCUGAUGGAGGGGGUUAACUACUGGAAACGGUAGCUAAUACCGCAUACCAUCAGCAGUGACCAGAUGGGAUUAGCUAGUAGGUGGGGUUACGGGUCACCUAGGCGACGAUCCCUCGCUGGUCUGAGAGGAUGACCAGCCAUACUGGAACUGAGACACGGUCCAGACUCCUACGGGAGUCAGCAGUGGGGAAUAUUGCACAAUGGGCGCAAGCCUGAUGCAGCCAUGCCGCGUGUGUGAAGAAGGCCUUCGGGUGGUAAAGCACUUUCAGCGGGGAGGCGUUACCCGCAGAAGAAGCACCGGCUAACUCCGUGCCAGCAGCCGCGGUAAUAC